rnacentral:pre_miRNA from 14 species
GCUCAGACGCUGACCUUUCUACCAAGGUGCAGAGCUUAGCUGAUUGGUGAACAGUGAUUGAUUCCCUCUUUGUUCACAGUGGCUAAGUUCUGCACCUGAAGAGAGGGCGAGGGGAAGCAAAGG